CUCGGAUGUCAGGGCACGGCUGCUGCUGUUGAAGCAUCUCUAGGAUGUACUGGCUUGUCAUGCCCUGCUUAAGCUUCUUCCACCCCAAGUGAUAUAUCUCAAGCAUGUUCAGCAGCAGGGAGACUGAGGCCACCACCAACAUGAAGAUGAUGAAGAUUGUCUUCUCAGUGGGCCUCGAGAUGAAGCAGUCCACAGUGUGUGGACAAGGUGAGCGGCUGCACUGGUAGACCGGCUUUAGCUCGAAGCCAUAUAGGAAGUACUGGCCCACAAUGAAGCCCACCUCAAACAGUGUCUUGAAUAUGAUAUUGAAGACAUAGGUACGGAGCAAGGCACCCCCCAUACGGAUUCUGCCACGUUCGUCACGGAUUGGGAGCUUCUCCUUCCCCCUUUUGACAAUAGAUUGAUCUUUGGCAUUAUUACUGCCUCCUCCACCACCGCUGCCAGAUGCUGCUGCUACUGGGUAGUUGCCAUCUUUGCUGCUUCCCUUCUUUUUCAGCUCCUCUUUCUCUUUCCUCUUCUCCUCCAUGCGUACAAUGUGCAGGACAUGGCCCAGGUAGAUGAGGGUCGGAGUGGAGACAAAAAUGAUCUGCAGCACCCAGAAGCGGAUGUGAGAAAUGGGGAAGGCUUUGUCAUAGCAAACAUUUUCGCAACCAGGUUGCUGAGUGUUGCACGUAAAGUCCGACUGCUCGUCUCCCCAGACCUCCUCAGCAGCAGCCCCCAGCACCAGGAUCCUGAAGAUAAACAGUACCGUCAGCCAAACCUUGCCAAUAACCGUGGAGUGCUCCUGCGCAUUCUCUAACAGUCUCCCCAGAAAGCUCCAGUCACCCAUUGCUUCAGAUUUCUAACCUACAACAAGAACAUCAGAGCAAUUAGAGCAAUGUUAAAACAUCUUGUAAUUGCACAAUGCCGGAGCAGAACAGAUUGAUCCUUGACAAAUCAUAUUUCUUAUCUUGCUUCUGCAGAAUACUGCACGCAUACUUUAAGAACCCUGGGACCACGCAACCAUGGGCUUUGGUCAGCCCAGGCUGAGAAUUCAGGACACCAAAGACAUGACACAAUACACUUUUCUCAGAGGAUACACAUAAAGAAGCUAUUUUAGUGCUUCCAUUAGCCAAAAUAUUUAUUUCUGUGUAUUAGUGUGUGCAAAUUCAUCCUGCACACCAAGAGAAAGUUUUUAAGCUGUGAGCAGAUACUUCACAGCACCUCAACUGCACAGAGGUGAAAAACCUCAGCGUUCAUCUUAGAAUGAAUUGCAGCAACUGUUGCCUUCACCACAAAUGUGUCUUGUCUAUAGUACAUAAAUACUGGAAAGACAUUUUUUCCAAGGGCAAUGCAAAGUUACACAUCUCCACUGGCUGGAGAGUCCCCAGAAAUCCAGGUCCUGCAUCUUUCUCCACUGUCAGUACAUUCUUCAGUAAGCAAUUCUUAAAGCAAAUGUAACUCAUCCAAAAAUCACAUCAACAACUGCAAAGGGUUACCUUGAUACAUAACGUUAUUAAAUUACAUUAAACGAAAACAGAAGUUUCACAACGCUUAGAGAAUAUGUGAUUUUUCCCUACUGAGUUCAAGAACCUAUGUCUAAAUUUAAAUGGCUACAACUCAGUAUUUUAGCUGAGAAUAUCCCAAGCUUGCUCUUGCAGUAUUACAUCAAAUUCAACUGUAUAGUAUUACUUUCAGUGUUACAGAGACAGGCAACUCUUAAGACCUAAUCUUCAAUAUGGAUUGUGAAAGAAGACAUUUUUUCUUUUUGUGCUUGGAAAAAAAUGCAGAUUACGAAAUGAAACAACUUUAUCUGCAUUUCAUUAUGUCCAUGAAAACCCACAAGGGAAUGACAGAGAAUCUGUCUUCGAAAACAAUCUAAUUCAACAGUAUGAAAAGCAAGGACUUCAUGAACCUUCGUAUCAUUUAACAAGAACCAGGAGUCUUGUAUUAUUUGGUGUUUUUUGUUGUAUUGUAUUUCUUGUUUUAGAAAAUCAUUCCUUUGAGACCACACUGAAAAAUGGACAUUCAUAAAAACCAGCAUGGCAUUUAAGAAUCAACGCCGUGUUAUUAAUUACUAGUUUAGUACAUGCACAAGCACACUUUGCAUGUAACAAAGAGAACAAUCAAGCGAGAAUAAAUUUUAGAAGCUACAAUGUCAUAUCUAUCCCUCUGCAGGAGAAGAAUAAUUUGUGACAUCGACAAACUUUCCAGUUAUUUUUAUUUCUGAUGGUGUCACUGAAGAGGUUCAUCACUUUGUGCACUAGGUGUGCAAAAUUUGACAUUUUAUUAUUUAUAAAUUUACUCAAACAUGCACAUGUUUAUGUAUUUGUACACACAUAUGAACACAAAUAGGUACACAGCUGUACUACAUACAUUACCAGAUUAUGACACUUGAUGAAUUUAUGAUUUCAUUACAUUGGUAUAUCCCAAAAAUGUACCAUAACAAAUAUUUAGAUACUUAAUAGAUAUCCUUGCCUGAAGA